rnacentral:rRNA from 1 species
GAUGAACGCUGGCGGCGUGCUUAACACAUGCAAGUCGAGCGGGCAAUUUAUCUAGCACUGAUUACUUCAAAUGGAAAUCAUAAGUGUAAUCAUGAAUUUCUACCUUUAAUAAAGAAAAAAGAAAUUCAUGUACGCAAAUAGUGAUAACACAUUUUAGUGAAGUGAUGAGUGCUGGAUAAAUUGCUAGCGGCGGACGGGUGCGUAACACGUGGGUAACCUGCCCCUAUCACUGGGAUAACACACUGAAAAGUGUGCUAAUACCAGAUAAUAUAAGCUUUUGGCAUCAUUAGCUUAUCAAAGAAUUUCGGAUAGGGAUGGGCCUGCGUCUGAUUAGCUAGUUGGUGAGGUAACGGCUCACCAAGGCAACGAUCAGUAGCCGACCUGAGAGGGUGAUCGGCCACACUGGAACUGAGACACGGUCCAGACUCCUACGGGAGGCAGCAGUGGGGAAUAUUGGUCAAUGGACGCAAGU